UACAGAGGUGGCAAGCGUUGUUCGGAAUUACUGGGCGUAAAGGGCGCGUAGGCGGCCAGCACAAGUCAGUUGUGAAAUCUCCGAGCUUAACUCGGAACGGUCAACUGAUACUGUGCGGCUAGAGUGCAGAAGGGGCAACUGGAAUUCUUGGUGUAGCGGUGAAAUGCGUAGAUAUCAAGAGGAACACCUGCGGCGAAGGCGGGUUGCUGGGCUGACACUGACGCUGAGGCGCGAAAGCUAGGGGAGCGAACGGG
rnacentral:rRNA from 1 species